rnacentral:rRNA from 1 species
UAGAGUUUGAUCCUGGCUCAGGAUGAACGCUGGCGGCGUGCCUAAUACAUGCAAGUCGAACGCUAGUCGCGGACCUGAUCACUUCGGUGAGACGUAAAGCAUAUGGCUAGAGUGGCGAACGGGUGAGUAACACGUGGACAACCUGCCUCUAAGCAGGGGAUAACAUUUGGAAACAGAUGCUAAUACCGUAUAACAACACAUUUCGCAUGAAGUGUGUUUAAAAGGGGCUUCGGCCUCACUUAGAGAUGGAUCCGCGGUGCAUUAGUUAGUUGGUGAGGUAAAGGCUUACCAAGACGAUGAUGCAUAGCCGAGUUGAGAGACUGAUCGGCCACAUUGGGACUGAGACACGGCCCAAACUCCUACGGGAGGCUGCAGUAGGGAAUCUUCCACAAUGGGCGCAAGCCUGAUGGAGCAACGCCGCGUGUGUGAUGAAGGCUUUCGGGUCGUAAAGCACUGUUGUAUGGGAAGAAUAGUUAAUGUAGGAAAUGAUGUUAAUGUGACGGUACCAUACCAGAAAGGGACGGCUAAAUACGUGCCAGCAGCCGCGGUAAUACGUAUGUCCCGAGCGUUAUCCGGAUUUAUUGGGCGUAAAGCGAGCGCAGACGGUUCGUUAAGUCUGAAGUGAAAGCCCACAGCUCAACUGUGGAAUGGCUUUGGAAACUGGCGAACUUGAGUGCAGUAGAGGCAAGUGGAACUCCAUGUGUAGCGGUGGAAUGCGUAGAUAUAUGGAAGAACACCAGUGGCGAAGGCGGCUUGCUGGACUGUAACUGACGUUGAGGCUCGAAAGUGUGGGUAGCAAACAGGAUUAGAUACCCUGGUAGUCCACACCGUAAACGAUGAGUGCUAGGUGUU